AUUGAACGCUGGCGGCGUGCUUAACACAUGCAAGUCGAUCGGUAACAGGUGUAGCAAUACAUGCUGACGAGAGGCGGACGGGUGAGGAACGCUUGGGAAUCUGCCUAUCAGCGGGGGACAACCCGGGGAAACCCGGGCUAAUACCGCAUACGCCCUGAGGGGGAAAGGUGGGGAUCUUCGGACCUACCGCGAUUGGAUGCACCCAGGUGGGAUGAGCUAGUUGGUGAGGUAACGGCUCACCAAGGCGACGAUCUCUAGCUGGUCUGAGAGGAUGACCGGCCACACUGGAACUGAGAAACGGUAUAGACUCCUACGGGAGGAAGCAGUGGGGAUUAUUGCACAAUGGGGAAAACCCGGAUGCAGCCAUGCCGCGUGUGUGAAGAAGGCCUCAGGGUUGAAAAGCACUUUCAGCGAGGAGGAAAGGUGGCUAGCUAAUACCUAGUUGCUGUGACGUUACUCGCAGAAGAAGCACCGGCUAACUCCGUGCCAGCAGCCGCGGUAA
rnacentral:rRNA from 1 species